rnacentral:rRNA from 1 species
AUUGAACGCUGGCGGGAUGCCUAACACAUGCAAGUCGCACGGAGUGGCGGACGUGUGAGUAAUGUAUCGGAAUGUGCCUGGUGGCUGGGGAUAACUACCCGAAACUGUUGCUAAUACCGCCUACCAUAGGCGAGGCCGAUAUUGGAUGAGCUAGUGGGUGGGGUAAAGGCUCACCAAGGCGACGAACCGGAGCUGGUCUGAGAGGAGGACCAGCCACACUGGAACUGAGACACGGUCCAGACUCCUACGGGAGGCAGCAGUGGGGAAUAUUGGACAAUGGGCGAAACCCUGAUCCAGCCAUCCCGCGUGUAUGAAGAAGGCCUUCGGAUUGUAAAGCACUUUAAGCUGGGAGGCGUUACCAGCAGAAUAAGCACCGGCUAACUACGUGCCAGCAGCCGCGGUAAUUC